CCCCACCCCCCGGCCACCAGCAAUCCCCGGGGAAGGCAGACGUUCUUAGAAUUGUUUCAGGCAGCCGGGCUGUCAGGAUGAUGGGUUCUGCACCCAGCAGCUGAACAAAAGAAGAAAACAGUCCCAACAAGGCCCUUCUCACUGCCUCUGACCUCGGAGUGGAGCUAUCAGGAUACAGGAUGGCAAUGGAUUUCUCAUCAGCAGCUCUGCGAAGCUGACUUUGCUGACUGUGGAAUUCUAUACCCAGCCAAAGUAUCAAUCAAGGGUGGGCUUUUCAGCAGCAACACUGGAUGCUGGGAGCAAAGAAACAACAACUUCCAAAUUCUGCAGAAAGGAUGCUUUUGAAGGACUAUGCUUUGGAAAUGAGGGAGUCUGUGAAGAAAGAGGAAGGCGUGGAGCCCACAAAGGGAACGAAGAAGAAACUGGAGUGAUUCUGACACUGAGGAAAGAGAUGCCAGGAUUCCUGCAGGGUCCAGGCACGGUCCAUCAGCUCUCCCUGCCUGCGGACUCUAGCUCCCUAGCUGGUGCUGCAGAUCCAGAACAGCUCACCGAGUCCCCUUCCAGCCCCAUCUGGCUUCCUCACUACCUCACCCACUGCAGAUCCUGAGCCACCUCCUGUUCCCUCCACUGGGCAAACAGAGACUUCUGGCUCCUUCCAUGCCUUGUAGAAAUUUAGGAGGAUGGGCCUGCUGUUACCUAUUGUCUUGAGUUGAAUGCCCCACCCUAGUUGUUCCAUCUUCUUCGUGUUUUUUUUUUUUUUCAAUUUGCAAGGGUGGAGACCAGAUAGGUUGAUAGAUAGGAAUAUACUCCCGCAUGGACUCACCCCCGAGAUGUUCACCAUGGGCUGGAGUCAGGAGCCUGGCUUUCAAUCCAGAUCUCCCACACGGAGACCACCACUGAGACAACCACUGGUGAGAAGCUGCAGUCAGGAGCCAGAUCCAGGAACUGAACCCUGAGCACUCGGGAUACGGGUGUCUGAGCCGGCAGGCUACAAGCUUGAUCCCCCUCAUCUUAUAAACAGGAUGAUAACAAGACCAGUUUGAGAUUUGCAUG